GUCUGUGAUGAAAACUGUGAAUAGGAAGUGCCGUCCGAUGCGACAACUGACGAGGUUUCUCUCACUGUUCUGAGC
ensembl:snoRNA